GCAUUCUUCUUUUAAAUGUCUUUUCAUUUUGUAGUCCAUCUCAUUAUUUUUUCAGGGACCUGACUCAUCAUUUUGAAUGUCAUUUCUGCUUCAUUUCUGCCAGGUGAGAAUGGGCUGAAGUAGAGUUUAGAGGAAUGUGGAACGCUCUCUGCUAUGAGAAAAUUGCUCUCCUGCCUCAUCUGGAGAUGUGCCUGGCCUUAAAGGAAGAGGGCAGUUAAAAUGGAGCAUUGUACCUUUUUGCCAAUGGAAGAAUUAAAUAAUUUUCAGUGAAAA